rnacentral:rRNA from 1 species
GAUGAACGCUGGCGGCGUGCCCAAUACAUGCAAGUCGAGCGACGCGGGUACGCGUGAGUAACACGUGGAUAACCUCCUAUAAGACUGGGAUUACUCCGGGAAACCGGAGCUCAAUCGGAUACUCAUAGUUGGUUCUGCGCUGUAUUAGCUAGUUGGUAAGGUAACGGCUUACUAAGGCAACGAUGCAUAGCCGACCUGAGAGGGUGAUCGGCCACACUGGAACUGAGACACGGUCCAGACUCCUACGGGAGGCAGCAGUAGGGAAUCUUCCGCAAUGGGCGAAAGCCUGACGGAGCAACGCCGCGUGAGUGAUGAAGGUCUUCGGAUCGUAAAGCUCUGUUAUUAGGGAAGCGGUACCUAAUCAGAAAGCCACGGCUAACUACGUGCCAGCAGCCGCGGUAAUUC